GGGUCCCUUCUACACGUUGCAUCUCCUUUUUUGGGCUGGGUAUUGGGCUCGGUACAGAGAAAUAACAAUUUUCUUACAUCUUAGCACAGGAAGGCUACAUAGGAGAGUCUUUCUUUAUGUGUUUUUGGCAUGAUGUAACCGACAGGAUCAGUUCGGUGAUAAAUGCAACAUCACUUAGAGAACAUGGUCAAGGACUUCAAGUUCUCCAAUAUGAAACAGGACAGAAUUAUGAAUUUCACUUUGACUAAUUCAAUGAUGAUUAUAAAACCAAGAACGGGAGUCAACGGGGAUAACUACAGUUCUAAUGUACCUAUGAUUUCCAUGCCGGUUAUCGUGGUCAUAUGACAUUCAAAUAGUUUUGCAG